CUUUUUGUAUUAAUUUAAAGUCUUGCCUGCCCAAUGAAAGUAUUUGAAUGGCCGCGGUAUUUUGACCGUGCAAAGGUAGCAUAAUCAUUAGUCUUUUAAUUGAAGGCUGGAAUGAAUGGUUUGACGAAAUAGUAACUGUCUCUUUAGUAUGAAUUUUGAAUUUUACUUUUGAGUUAAAAGGCUUAAAUGAUAAAGGGGGACGAGAAGACCCUAUAGAUCUUUAUUUUUUAUUUUAUAAUGAUUUAUAUGUGGUUGUGGAUAUUAAUUAUUUAAUAAUGAAAUUUAUUGGGGUGAUGUAAGAAUAUAGGUGAACUUCUUAUUGAUUUUACUUUGAUUUUUGGGUGAUGGAUCCUUUAUUAUGGAUGUAAGAUUAAGAUACCUUAGGGAUAACAGCGUUAUUUUAUUUGAGAGUUCUUAUUGACAAUAAAGAUUGCGACCUCGAUGUUGGAUUAUGAUUACAUUUUGGUGCAGAAGCUGUAAAUGUUGGUCUGUUC
rnacentral:rRNA from 1 species